AGUGAACGCUGGCGGUAGGCCUAACACAUGCAAGUCGAACGGCAGCACAGUAAGAGCUUGCUCUUACGGGUGGCGAGUGGCGGACGGGUGAGGUAUACAUCGGAAUCUACUUUUUCGUGGGGGAUAACGUAGGGAAACUUACGCUAAUACCGCAUACGACCUACGGGUGAAAGCAGGGGCUCUUCGGACCUUGCGCGAUUGAAUGAGCCGAUGUCGGAUUAGCUAGUUGGCGGGGUAAAGGCCCACCAAGGCGACGAUCCGUAGCUGGUCUGAGAGGAUGAUCAGCCACACUGGAACUGAGACACGGUCCAGACUCCUACGGGAGGCAGCAGUGGGGAAUAUUGGACAAUGGGCGCAAGCCUGAUCCAGCCAUACCGCGUGGGUGAAGAAGGCCUUCGGGUUGUAAAGCCCUUUUGUUGGGAAAGAAAAGCAGCAGGUUAAUACCCCGCUGUUCUGACGGUACCCAAAGAAUAAGCACCGGCUAACUUCGUG
rnacentral:rRNA from 1 species